ACUCCUACGGGAGGCAGCAGUGGGGAAUAUUGGACAAUGGGCGAAAGCCUGAUCCAGCCAUGCCGCGUGUGUGAAGAAGGUCUUCGGAUUGUAAAGCACUUUAAGUUGGGAGGAAGGGCAGUAAGUUAAUACCUUGCUGUUUUGACGUUACCAACAGAAUAAGCACCGGCUAACUUCGUGCCAGCAGCCGCGGUAAUACGAAGGGUGCAAGCGUUAAUCGGAAUUACUGGGCGUAAAGCGCGCGUAGGUGGUUCAGCAAGUUGGAUGUGAAAUCCCCCGGGCUCAACCUGGGGAACUGCAUCCAAAACUACUGAGCUAGAGUACGGUAGAGGGUGGUGGAAUUUCCUGUGUAGCGGUGAAAUGCGUAGAUAUAGGAAGGAACACCAGUGGCGAAGGCGACCACCUGGACUGAUACUGACACUGAGGUGCGAAAGCGU
rnacentral:rRNA from 1 species